rnacentral:lncRNA from 10 species
AGGAACUGAAGGAGAAGCUGACCGAAUAUGUGGACAAGGUGAACAGCCAGAAGCCAGGCUUCAUCAAAGUCGUGCGUCACAGCAAGCAGGAAGGCCUCAUCCGCUCCAGGGUCAGUGGCUGGAGGGCGGCCACUGCCCCUGUGGUGGCACUCUUUGAUGCCCACGUGGAGUUCAAUGUGGGCUGGGCUGAACCUGUACUCACCCGCAUCAAGGAGAACCGGAAGCGGAUCAUCUCGCCAUCCUUUGAUAACAUCAAAUAUGACAACUUUGAGAUAGAAGAGUACCCGCUGGCUGCCCAGGGCUUUGACUGGGAGCUGUGGUGCCGCUACCUAAAUCCCCCCAAGGCCUGGUGGAAGCUGGAGAACUCCACAGCGCCAAUCAGGAGCCCUGCCCUCAUUGGCUGCUUCAUUGUGGACCGGCAGUACUUCCAGGAGAUCGGCCUGCUGGACGAAGGCAUGGAAGUCUACGGGGGCGAGAAUGUGGAGCUUGGGAUCAGGCACUAUUUACAAUAACAAAGACAUGGAACCAACCCAAAUGCCUGUCAAU